rnacentral:rRNA from 1 species
CCUAGUAACGGCGAGUGAAGCGGCAACAGCUCAAAUUUGAAAGCUGGCCCCAGGCCCGCGUUGUAAUUUGCAGAGGAUGCUUCUGGUAAGGUGCCUUCCGAGUUCCCUGGAACGGGACGCCACAGAGGGUGAGAGCCCCGUAUGGAUGGACACCGAGCCUGUGUGAAGCUCCUUCGACGAGUCGAGUAGUUUGGGAAUGCUGCUCAAAAUGGGAGGUAAAUCUCUUCUAAAGCUAAAUACCGGCCAGAGACCGAUAGCGCACAAGUAGAGUGAUCGAAAGAUGAAAAGCACCUUGAAAAGGGGGUUAAACAGUACGUGAAAUUGUUGAAAGGGAAGCGCUUGUGACCAGACUUGCGCCGGGCGGCUCAUCAGGGGUUCUCCCCUGUGCACUCCGCCCGGCACAGGCCAGCAUCGGUUCUCGUGGGGGGAUAAGAACGGUGGGAACGUGGCCCCCCUUCGGGGGGGUGUUAUAGCCCGCCGUACGAUACCCUCGUGGGGACCGAGGUUCGCGCUCCGCAAGGAUGCUGGCGUAAUGGUCAUCAGCGACCCGUCUUGAAACACGGACCAAGGAGUCGUCCAUUAGAGCGAGCGUUUGGGUGUAAAACCCGCACGCGUAAUGAAAGUGAACGCAGGUGAGAGCUUCGGCGCAUCAUCGACCGAUCCUGAUGUCCUCGGAUGGAUUUGAGUAAGAGUUUUAACGGACGGACCCGAAAGACAGUGAACUAUGCUUGUAUAGGGUGAAGCCAGAGGAAACUCUGGUGGAGGCUCGCAGCGGUUCUGACGUGCAAAUCGAUCGUCAAAUAUGAG